rnacentral:pre_miRNA from 1 species
GAAGGAGAAUUCCAAAGGGAUCGCAUUGAUCUCUUUAUAUAUCUAUAGUCUCGAGUGAUCAUGCGAUUCCUUUGGAAUUUUCCAU